GACGAACGCUGGCGGCGUGCUUAACACAUGCAAGUCGAACGAAGUGCCGAACGGGUGAGUAACGCGUAAUCAACCUGCCCUUCAGAGGGGGUCAACAGUUGGAAACGACUGCUAAUACCGCAUACUGAAUGAGGGGAUUGCGUCUGAUUCGCUAGUUGGAGGGGUAACGGGCCACAAAGGCGAUGCGCAGUAAGCGGGAUAAGAGGUGGAACGGCCAAAUUUGCACUGAUACACGGCCCAGACUCCUACUGGAGGCAGCAGUGGGGAAUCUUCUGCAAUGGACGAAAAGCUGACGGAGCAACGCAGCGUGAGUUAUGACGGCCUUCGGGUUGUAAAGCUCUGUUAAUCGGGACGCGGUACCGGAAUAGAAAGCCACGGCUAACUACGUGCCAGCGGCCGCGGUAAUAC
rnacentral:rRNA from 1 species